AUUAGGUUGGUGCAAAAGUAAUCACAGUUUUUGCCAUUACUUUUGAUGGCGAAACUGCGAUUACUUUUGCACUAAC
rnacentral:miRNA from 1 species